AGAUAUUUCAGUAAAAACCCUACUUUACUUUCUUUUCCUUUCUCUGUUGAUGGGAAUCCCAACUAUUACACUUAUAUUAAGGAAACAAGCCUAUGUAAUGUGCCAUGGAGCAAAAGCUGAACCCCGGCUGACCUGAUACUCAGACGGACAGAAAAAUACUGCAGGCACUGGUGUAUAAAGAUCAGAAGAUCAUGAAGGUAUCUGAUGUCACUUUUGGUUUCUGGUCAUCUGAACCCAGCUCUUCUGUCUACCCUGCCUUAUAAACAACUCCACCACCAUCUUUCCUUAUUCUCUGUUUGGACUCCCAUCUAAAAAGACUUUACCUAAACAUUUUGACAAAGCAUUUUUUAAUCUUGCAUCAAUUAUAUGGUGAUCAUCAGUCAGUGGUCAAUCCCAUUAUGAUCAUUUUGCAUCUUAUUUCUUAUAACAUAUAUACCGAAUGUGACCAGGUGGCACAGUGGUGCAGUGGUAAACGUCCAGUGUUCAUAUCCUCAUGUCUGCAUGGGUUUCCUCCUACAGUCCAAAGACAUGCAGAUUAGGUGGAUUGCUGAUGCCAAAUGGGCCCUAUUUUGUGUGUACGUGUGUUCUCUCUGCGGUAGUCUGGCACCCUGUCCAGGGAUUGUUUCUGACUUGCGCCCUGUUUGUUGGGAUAGGCUCCAGCUUCCCAGCAAAGCCGCUAAGCAUAAAGCAGACUUAGAAAAUAGAUGAAUGGAUGGAUGAAAGUAUGUAGGUGCAGUGCCAAGAGAUAUUUGUGAUCCAAGAGAUCUUGUCUUCCAGGCUCUUUCUUAUUUCUUACCCUUUUGAGACUUAAGUAGGCCGAUCCAAACAAUGAGCUCCAUAGACAAGUUAAAAGUGGACAAUGUGUAGCUAGCAACCUAGGAUGCUAUACAUUGCGCAUAUCCCCGCUAACAAGAAAAACACCUGCCCAGUGGAAACUUGAAAAUGGCAGAGCAGGAUCCUAUAGCAGAGCUCAGGGUGAUUAUUUUAAGAAAUGAAAAUGAUGAUAGCUCACGUGUAGGUACAAAGUAACACACAAUGUGUAAUUAGAUGGUUGACUCUUUUAUCUAAAAUGACAUGCACGUCACUGUGAUGCAACAUUUGUUAGAAUCCUAAAACUGGGGCACUGGCAGCUUAAGCAAAUUACUAUGAAGUUGGGGGCUGAACUGGCAACACAAUGGCUUACAGUUUAACAUAUUAGUUACUAGGCUUAAAGUACCUGCAGGGAACAACAUCAUUCAGACAUUUUGUAUUUAGUCUUAAUCUCAUUGGUCCUAUGUGUGUGAGCACUUUGAACCAACAGCACCAGUUUGGUUACUGUGUUAUUUCUGUUUAACAUUCUUUCAAAACUCCAUGAAGUAAAAAUUUAGAAACAUGAUUCAAUUUAAAAAAGAACAAAUUCUCCAGACUGUAUGGCAGGUCUGUUGAAAAAGGUGUUACUCCACUGGCAAUUCAUUAAUCCAGAAUCUAGGAAUUUCUAGUUAUGAAAGCCAGAAAUGCAAGUAAAAUCUUCUUCAAGCCAAAGUACCUAAAAUUUGGGGUAAAUAGGGUGUCCUUUUAAUGUAUGUUAUUACUGAUGAUAUUCACUCUAUGCAGACUCAAAAAGACAGUUUCUGAAUUUAACGGUUUGUUGCCUGUCGAAACAGAGUAGUAGUCUAUAAUGAACUUCUCUCCCGAAGCCACUGUUUAAAUACACGACGUGAAUCUAAAAGCACAAACUUUGCGAAUAAGUGAGAAGUAGAUAUUUGGCACAGGACUUUAUUUUUUAAACAGGCUGGAAUUUAUCCUGAGUGGAAAUUAUCUCAAUAUUAUUCAGUAAAACUGUCUGACUGUUUUCAACAUCGUCCAGGCCAUGAUCUUGUGGCUCUAAAUAGGAGCUUAUUAAGCUGCAUAAACUAUAUCUCCUUCAGUCUGUUUUUGAUCAAAUUAGCAAUAUUUUUUCGCUUGGUUCAUUUUGGUUGCAUCGUUUCACUUCAAAAUUUCAGCAGUGUUUUUGUUCUUGAAAAUCUCUAGUUGGGCAAGUCUGGCAAAGAAUGCCAUGUUGUAAUGAAAUCCAUUUAAAUCUUUGAGUUGGUGCAUUUUCUUUCUGAAUGGCACACACAAGUUUUGUUAGUGCCUUCAUAUCUGUGUCAGAUAGCACUCUUUACUUAUUUAAGGUCACUAAUUGAUUAUGUGAAAAGGGCAGGUGUCCCCCAUCAAAUGACUAUUUGCUGUUGUGUGCAGUACCUAAUAAAGUGGCUUCACAGUGUACAGUUGAACUGUGAAAGGACUGAAGGGCUUCUUUCUGGAAUCCUUUGAUAAUUCUUUCUUUGAGCUUUUAAUCUUAACAGAGCAAAAAUGGUUCACUUAUGGCUAAUGGAGCUCUAAAGGGCAAUGUGUCAUGCAAAUCCUGAGGAGAGCCCAAAAUGGAGCAUUUUGUGGUAUGUUACAAGUACAAAGAGCAGUCAAUGACACAGACAGCCAAAAAAGGACUACUAUUAUCACAAAGGCUCCAAGGAAAAACAAAUUAUGGCGCAGACUGUUGAUGAGUAUUACCUUUCCUUCCUGUGAACAUUCCAUAUUGGCUAGAUCACUUAUCUCUGCACCACUGUAGGUGUGGCAUGUCUAUGCAAAAAUUUAUUUCAACAACGUGCAAGAGAAAAAACAUAAGCAACAUAAACCACGCAAGUUCAGAAAUGAUUCGGCAAAACCGAGACAUAAAAGAUAAGGCAAACUCAAUAUAAGAAGGCAAAGCAAAGAUAGGAAUUUUUUUAAAUACAAAUUAUUACAACUAAAAGAAAUCCUAUUGGUAAUGGAUCAAUUUUUAUUUUUCUUUAACUAUUCAUGUUCCUCUUUAUUCUAAUUUUUAUUUUAUUUAUUCAUUACCUGUUUCGUCUCCUUGGGUAGGUGAAAGGCUCAAAGAAUAUGCACCUGCUGUCUCUCUUCUCCCUUUUCAUAGUAUUGGAAACAGUGCUCACGUGUGAUGUGAGAAGCAACUGCUGCCAAGUAAUCAGACAUAUGUGA